GCAGAAGUAUUUUAGUUUGAAGAGCAUUAAAUUGAAGAUCUAAAUGUCCCCGGUUCGAUCCCGGGUUCCGGCA
rnacentral:tRNA from 1 species